UAUAAAUAGUGGCAGUGGCCUCCUUUCCAUGAUUGGACCUCAGAUGAUUAAUGGGAUUUUGUUUCUAAACUAUGGACGUGUGAAGGUGGACCUCGCUUUUCUGACCCCUCCUCGGUGAGGGAAACCCUCUCCUGCUGGCCUCAAUCCGACACAGCAAGCAGGACGUACUCAGAUGACUUCCAACUUUCUGAGGGCUUAAAUGAAGAGUGUCAAAUUCCUUUACAUGGCAUUGAGACUCCUCCUGGCCACACCUGAUUACCACCAGGCUCAUCUCUAGGACUCGUUGGUUCCUAUGGUUCAAGCCCAAGGAGUCCAUUCUUUUGCCUCCUCCAGGAUUUUCUACAGGACGUGCCUGCUUCCUAGAAUCCUUCUGCACUUGCUCAGUAAUCACAUCCUCAAGAACAGCCCUUCCAUCUGGGUAAGGUGGGCUGCUCCCAGAAUUCCUCCAUUCACACUGCUGGAUAUAAAAGCCUGUGCUUGUAAGACAGCAAGCUCCGUGGGAACAGCUUUCUGCCAUGCUUUGUUUGCAUUGCAUUUAGCCAACAUUAAAGAACAAUGAAUGGAUGAAAGAGUAGCCUUCUGGGAUACAAAGGGACUCAGCCCUGGCUCACUUCCAGAUUCCAGGGGUUUCCUGCAGCCUCCAUCAAAUACCCUCCAGUAUUAAGGGUCCAGGUGUGGACAAAACAUUCACUAAUGGUAACCACAGCCUAGCAAAUAGAAUCAUGGUGCAGUGCAAAGAGCACUUGAAUGGCACCAAAAGAACUGGCUUUACUACUCAGACAAGUCACAUGACCUCGUGGAGCCUCUGUCCCCUCCUCCAUUAUUGCCUGGCACACACCUAGGAAGAAUGGACUCUGUCCAAGGUGCUCCACAUCAACCAGCUCUAAAGCCUCCCGCUUAGGGGUCUAAACCUGGGCAAAGAUGCAGGUCAAGCUUGGUUGGUUGACACAGUGAAAUUAGAAUAUGGCAGCACUCCGGGUCUACCCACAAUGGUCCCUAACGGGGCCAAGAUCAUGAUAUGCUUUGGGGUAUGUCAAUGGAAGAAUUGUGCUUUUUUGAAGGAUCCUGGACUGAGGCA